rnacentral:misc_RNA from 1 species
UUAACUAUUAUAUAGUACUCAGACAUUAUAGACAAACAGAGUUUAGGUCCUCUGGCAAGCGCUCGCCGGCCGGAGCCAGCAGCCCGAGGGCAGGCCUGCCAAAGCAACAAAGGUGUAAUAAACAAAGGGUGGUAUAGAAGACCCCAGCCCAGAGGGCCAGGGGACUAUAACUUUAAUGAUCCUUCCGCAGGUUCACCUACGGAAA